rnacentral:rRNA from 1 species
AACGAACGCUGGCGGCAGGCUUAACACAUGCAAGUCGAGCGCCCCGCAAGGGGAGCGGCAGACGGGUGAGUAACGCGUGGGAAUCUACCCAUCUCUACGGAAUAACGCAUGGAAACGUGUGCUAAUACCGUAUACGUACUUCGGGAGAAAGAUUUAUCGGAGAUGGAUGAGCCCGCGUUGGAUUAGCUAGUUGGUGGGGUAAAGGCCUACCAAGGCGACGAUCCAUAGCUGGUCGGAGAGGAUGAUCAGCCACACUGGGACUGAGACACGGCCCAGACUCCUACGGGAGGCAGCAGUGGGGAAUAUUGGACAAUGGGCGCAAGCCUGAUCCAGCCAUGCCGCGUGAGUGAUGAAGGCCCUAGGGUUGUAAAGCUCUUUCACCGGUGAAGAUAAUGACGGUAACCGGAGAAGAAGCCCCGGCUAACUUCGUGCCAGCCGCCGCAGUAAGAC